rnacentral:rRNA from 1 species
CCCGCCGCCCCCCCCCGAGAGUUUGAUGCAUGGCCUCAGAAGUGAACGCUGGCGGCCAUGCUUAACACAUAGCCAAGUCCACGCCCAGCUAUGGGAGUGGCGGACGGGUGAGUAACCGUAGGAACGUAUCCCAGGUGGGGGACAACCCCGGGAAACUGGGGCUAAUACCGCAUAUGUCCUUCGAGGGACAAAGCAGUGAUGCGCCUUUGGAGCAGGCCUGCAGUCCGAUUAGGUAGUUGGUGGGGUAAAUGGCCUACCCAAGCCUGCGAUCUGUAGCUGGUCUGAGAGGACGAUCAGCCACACUGGGACUGAGACACGGCCCAAUACUCCUACGGGAAGGCAGCAGUGGGGAAUAUUGGACAAUGGGCGCAAGCCUGAUCCAGCAAUGCCGCGUGUGUGAAGAAGGUCUUCGGAUCGUAAAGCACUUUCACAGGGACGAUGAUGACGGUUACCUGUAGAAGAAGCCCCGGUCUAACUUCGUGCCAGCAGCCGCGGUAAUACGAAAGGGGGCUAGCGUUGCUCGGAAUUACUGGGCGUAAAGGGCGCGUAGGCGGACAGUUUAGUCAGAGGUGAAAGCCCAGGGCUCAACCUUGGAAUUGCCUUUGAUACUGGCUGUCUUGAAGUUCGGGAGAGGCUGAGUGGAAUGCCGAGUGUAGAGGUGAAAUUCCGUAGAUAUUCGGACGGAACACCAGUGGUCGUAAGGCGAACCUCACUGGCUCCGAUACUGACGCUGAGGCGCGAAAGCCUGUGUGGGAGCAAACAGGAUUAGAUACCCUGGUAGUCCACUGCUGUAAACGAUGAGUUCAGCUAGUUGUCGGCAUGCAUGCAUGUCUUGGUGACGCAGCUAACGCAUUAAGCACUCCGCCUGGGGAGUACGGUCGCAAGAUUAAAAUCUCA